AUCCCCGUAGCGCAGUGGAUAGCGCGCUGGACUUCUAAUCCAGAGGUCGCGGGUUCGAAUCCCGCCUGGGAUG
rnacentral:tRNA from 1 species